GCGCCUGUAGCUCAGCUGGAUAGAGCGUCUGCCUCCGGAGCAGAAGGUCGGUGGUUCGAGUCCACUCAGGCGUACCA
rnacentral:tRNA from 1 species